GCAAGGGAUGGGGUGGGAGCCAUUUCAAAUUUCAGCCCUGCAUGUAGUGCGUCCAGAGACACACUUAGAGUGUCCAGAGACAGAGUCUCAUGCUGAGGAAGGAGAAGGCUGAAGCCUGGUGCCAGCCAGGGGGACCUUGUCUCCUGGAAGAGACUUCACACUGUUCCACGACUCUCAUUCAGCCUUGCAGGAGAGACUGGAGCAGACACAAUCUCGGCAGGACCACACCUUGACCAGGAUUGUUUACUGUGUACACCCCAGCCCUCUAUUUAAACCUAAAUAAACCUCAUGUCAGGGCCCAGAAAACAGACUUGGGGGCAGGAGGGUUCCUAGUCUAAAUGUGACCACAUUGAGUAAGUCAUUUUCUGCUUUUCCCCAAAGUCUUGGAAUACAUACGACAGGUGGCUGAGCCAAGCCUGUUAAGGUACCAGAACACCCGGAGACAGUGGGGCUGAUAGGUGAAGAGGAUCAAGGCUUUAACCCCAACAAUUAUGGUAACAAAGAGACCAACGUACCGCCAUGCUGCUGUCGGCUCCUGUGACUUCUGGGUUACAGGAGGCUACCACACCUAUCUUGGGGAUCCUAAC
rnacentral:lncRNA from 1 species